rnacentral:lncRNA from 1 species
ACCCUGGUUCUUGAGGAUGCUACGGCAAGAUGCAAAAGCAGCUCAUAAAAGCCCUAGGGGACACAAAGCCCUCAUUUCCACAGGGGAAAUUAUCAUCUGCAACCUGUAACGGAGACACCACCUUUUUCAAAUGAAGCAGAAAGACGGAAAUGGCCUCAGUUUCUUCAGAGAGGUCUCCGUGGUCCCAAGGAGGAUGGAAGCCCCACUGCUGUGUCAUGCUGCUUGUGCUGCACUGCUCAGGAGCUGCAGGGAGCAGGGUUUCCUCCGUUGCCAUGAGCAAAAUACCUGCAGGGAUGGAGGAACCCCGGCCAUAUAAAGGGAAGGUAAGAAUUUAGCCCUGUUAGCUCACUGUUGUGAUCAACGUGAAGAGCUAAUUUUGCCAUGUCCAUGUUAACAUUUCCAUGGGCUUCUCAGGUGUUUUCAGGCAUCUUCUCUUGAUGUUUCUGAGGCUGACCUCCCCUCCUGCCUCCCAUCCUUGAGACUUGGCUGGCUCCAGCAUCUCCCCAGCCCACCACGACACCUCUGCAGCAACGGAGUGAAGGAGAGUGAAAUCCCUCCUUUACCAAGACAGGCCUCUGGCGGUUGAACCAUGAUGAAACUGUUCUCUGCAAGUCUUUAACAUGGUAGCAAUGUUGCUCAGUUCCACCACGUAUUUUAUCACUGUACAACCAGCAUAAGAAACCAGCAUAGUUCACAGGGUGCA